AACGAACGCUGGCGGCAGGCCUAACACAUGCAAGUCGAGCGGAUCCUUCGGGAUUAGCGGCGGACGGGUGAGUAACGCGUGGGAAUAUGCCCUUCUCUACGGAAUAGCCUCGGGAAACUGGGAGUAAUACCGUAUACGCCCUACGGGGGAAAGAUUUAUCGGAGAAGGAUUAGCCCGCGUUGGAUUAGGUAGUUGGUGGGGUAAUGGCCUACCAAGCCUACGAUCCAUAGCUGGUUUGAGAGGAUGAUCAGCCACACUGGGACUGAGACACGGCCCAGACUCCUACGGGAGGCAGCAGUGGGGAAUCUUAGACAAUGGGGGAAACCCUGAUCUAGCCAUGCCGCGUGAGUGAUGAAGGCCUUAGGGUUGUAAAGCUCUUUCAGCUGGGAAGAUAAUGACGGUACCAGCAGAAGAAGCCCCGGCUAACUCCGUGCCAGCCGCCGCGGUAAAAC
rnacentral:rRNA from 1 species